rnacentral:rRNA from 1 species
UAUGGCUCAGGAUGAACGCUAGCUACAGGCUUAACACAUGCAAGUCGAGGGGCAGCAUUGGAGUAGCAAUACUUCAGAUGGCGACCGGCGCACGGGUGAGUAACACGUAUCCAACCUGCCGCUUACUCGGGGAUAGCCUUUCGAAAGAAAGAUUAAUACCCGAUGGUAUAAAGAGUUCGCAUGUUCUCUUUAUUAAAGAAUUUCGGUAAGCGAUGGGGAUGCGUUCCAUUAGAUAGUUGGCGGGGUAACGGCCCACCAAGUCUACGAUGGAUAGGGGUUCUGAGAGGAAGGUCCCCCACAUUGGAACUGAGACACGGUCCAAACUCCUACGGGAGGCAGCAGUGAGGAAUAUUGGUCAAUGGACGAGGGUCUGAACCAGCCAAGUAGCGUGAAGGAUGACUGCCCUAUGGGUUGUAAACUUCUUUUAUAAGGGAAUAAAGUGAGGGACGUGUCCCUUUUUGUAUGUACCUUAUGAAUAAGGAUCGGCUAACUCCGUGCCAGCAGCAGC